GUUCAAUCCACUGACUUUUAUUGCUGUGACUGUUUAUCACAAACACAACAGCUAAGGCACGUAGCAUGGCAGUCUAUGCGUUCAAAUCAUAAUGAGGUGCUAAUGGAACGAGGGUUCGGUUUCAAGGAGGUAAUCCCAGCAUACCUUGGGUGACAGUGACUGAUGAGGAAAUAUCCUAAAGUAAAUACAUGUCCAUUUGGCUGAAAGAUCCCUGCUGUUGUUCUUCUAAACAACCCAACCGCCCCUCCCUUCCCUUGUUUCCCAGUGCAUUGUGGGAUGACAAAUAAACAAGUCCAGGCGGAGGAGGAGUCCAAUGUUCAGCCUCCACACCAGGGAUCGGUGGCAGUGUUUCUCAAAGCCAGCUGAUGCACAAGUGCUGAGUCACUUAGACUGUGAAUGAAUCCACACUCCAAAGAACUGCAUGUUGUUCAAACAUUCACUAGGACAGCAUGGCAAUGUUUUUGUUCCCUUUGAUGAACCCUUGUACCUUGUGUUCAAGGACAUAAUGGACAUAAUGACGUUAAUGAACGAUCUUAACUGUACAAAUGAAUGUAUGUAUCAAUAUCAGAAGGGAAAAUCUUCACAGAUAUGAUAUAGUUGAAUCAAGGAAGACAUGUAGUCUUCCUGGAUCUUAAUUUCUUGUGAUCAUCAAGACUAAUAGUGUGUUAAAAUACAUUUAGAAAGAUAUAAGCAAAUCUAUUCUGGUGGAUUUGUACUGUUCAUGUGUUUUCUUUCCAAAAAUUAUACUAAAAUUAUUUUUAACAGCAAGAUAUGCCGGAAAUUGCUCUGGAAUGCAUAUCCGGUCCUGGUCCCGGUUCCAUUGAAGGUUUGCUAUGCAAAUAUUGAUAAAUAAUGUACCAUGGUUUUACUUUUCUGCUCAUAACUCCUGACUCUGGACAGUGAUUUAAUCAGUUUCUGAUUGUUCAGCUAGUUGUGAAGAAAAUAGUUGUAAAGAUGCCAAUAAAGAAAAUACCAACAGAGCUGAAAUGGCUUACAAGAUUUAAAAAACACACCCAAAAACUAAAGAAAUAGAAAUAAACUAAAAUAUCUUUAGUUAAUAAGAAAAAAUAAAUUACAAUACCAGUUUCAGCAUGGCAGUGUACUAACAGUAAAAAGGUCACCUGUACUUGUUUGUGUAAUAUUGACCUUCAGUAUUUGUUUGUACAAUUCUGAUCAUCCAUAUCCUUGGGGGGAACAAUCAAAA